rnacentral:rRNA from 1 species
AUUGAACGCUGGCGGCAGGCCUAACACAUGCAUGUAGAGCGGAGCGGCGGACGGGUGAGUAAUGCCUAGGAAUCUGCCUGGUAGUGGGGGAUAAUGUCCGGAAACGGGCGCUAAUACCGCAUACUAUCAGAUGAGCCUAGGUCGGAUUAGCUAUUUGGUGGGGUAAAGGCCUACCAGGGAGACGAUCCGUGACUGGUCUGAGAGGAUGAUCAGUCACACUGGAAGUGAGACACGGUCCAGACUCCUACGGGAGGCAGCAGUGGGGAAUAUUGGACAAUGGGCGAAAGCCUGAUCCAGCCAUGCGUCGUGUGUGAAGAAGGUCGUCGGAUUGUAAAGCACUUUAAGUUGGGAGGCGUUACCAACAGAAUAUGCACCGGCUAACUUCGUGCCAGCAGCCGCGGUAAUUC